UACAGAGGUCUCAAGCGUUGUUCGGAUUCAUUGGGCGUAAAGGGUGCGUAGGCGGCGCGGUAAGUCGGGUGUGAAAUCUUGGAGCUUAACUCCGAAACUGCAUUCGAUAUUGCCGUGCUUGAGGACUGGAGAGGAGACUGGAAUUUACGGUGUAGCGGUGAAAUGCGUAGAUAUCGUAAGGAAGACCAGUGGCGAAGGCGGGUCUCUGGACUGGUCCUGACACUCAUGAGCGAAAGCGUGGGGAGCGAUCCGG
rnacentral:rRNA from 1 species